rnacentral:rRNA from 1 species
AGUGAACGCUGGCGGUAUGCCUAACACAUGCAAGUCGAACGGCAGCACAGUAAGAGCUUGCUCUUACGGGUGGCGAGUGGCGGACGGGUGAGGAAUACAUCGGAAUCUACUUUUUCGUGGGGGAUCACGUAGUGAAACUUACGCUAAUACCGCAUACCCCCUCCGGGUGAAAGCAGGGGAUCUUCGGACCUUGCGCGAUUGAAUUAGCCGAUGUCGGAUUAGCUAGUUGGCGGGGUAAAGGCCCACCAAGGCGCCGAUCCGUAGCUGGUCUGAGAGGGUGAACAGCCACAGUGGAACUGAGACACGGCACAGAGACAGAGGGGAGGCAGAAGUGGGGAAGAGUGGAAAAUGGGCGCAAGCCUGAUCCAGCCAUACCGCGUGGGUGAAGAAGGCCUUCGGGUUGUAAAGCCCUUUUGUGGGGAAAGAAAAGCAGCAGGUUAAAACACCGCUGAGCUGACGGAACCAAAAGAAUAAGAACCGGUUAACAUGGG